CCUACGGGCGGCAGCAGUGGGGAAUAUUGGACAAUGGGGGCAACCCUGAUCCAGCCAUGCCGCGUGUGUGAAGAAGGCCCUCGGGUUGUAAAGCACUUUCAGUGAGGAAGAACGCCUGGUGGUUAAUACCCAUCAGGAAAGACAUCACUCACAGAAGAAGCACCGGCUAACUCCGUGCCAGCAGCCGCGGUAAUACGGAGGGUGCGAGCGUUAAUCGGAAUUACUGGGCGUAAAGCGCGCGUAGGUGGCUUGAUAAGCCGGUUGUGAAAGCCCCGGGCUCAACCUGGGAACGGCAUCCGGAACUGUCAAGCUAGAGUGCAGGAGAGGAAGGUAGAAUUCCCGGUGUAGCGGUGAAAUGCGUAGAGAACGGGAGGAAUACCAGUGGCGAAGGCGGCCUUCUGGACUGACACUGACACUGAGGUGCGAAAGCGUGGGUAGCAAACAGGAUUAGAUACCCUUGUAGU
rnacentral:rRNA from 1 species